AGGGUAAUAGCUCAGUGGUAGAGCACAUGCUUAGCAUGCACGAGGUCCUGGGUUCAAUCCCCAGUACCUCCA
rnacentral:tRNA from 1 species